CUGUCAUCACCAUGACAAGAACAUGGCCUGAUGCCAUGGGGGCCCAGUGUGCAAUGGCUGCAAACAGCAGUGUCCUCAGUAGUGUAUGCAGCCUGUUGCCUGUACAGGUUGCCCUAAGGGACCGUGGAGACAGCC